CCAGGAUCAAACCACCCCCCCUAUACAAACUCCAUCUCCUACCCCAGCCCCCCAAACCAAACACCCCCUCCUUCCACUAUUCAUCAUCGUCUCUCAGAGACGAACUAGGGCUAACCCUAGCCGCCACCUUACUCCGUCGCCUGAAACCCGGCGACAUCAAAGCCGUCGACCACCAUCUUAACGCCAUAAGACCAUCUGACCACCCUCUUUCAAAAUAUGUCAACCGUUGGGCACGAAUCUUCCCCCAUCGUCUCGAAACUCCAUUUGAAGAUUUGAGCCAAAUGAAAACCUAUCCCAAUCCACGUCAAACUCACACCAGACACUCCCCUGACCUCCCUAGAAAACUAUCGAAUAUUUCUGCCUAGAAAUAUUCGAACCCCAAAUCAGAAUGUAUGAACCCUUGAAACCUUAAAACAUGGAAUCUAUCCAAAUUAAGCAAAGAUUUGGGUCUAAUAGACCUUAAUCGAAGAGUUCUCAGUUGAGAACACUUCGACUAAGGUCCAUUCGACCUCGAAGUGGUCGAAGUCCGAGUUCGAACCCGGGUUUGUCUAGUUCUUGAGUUUUGAGGUACUUUUCCUUUUCCCUUGUUCUAUGUUUAUGUUCUUAUCUGUUUAUCAUUUUAGUUUGGUUUUUUAAUUUCUUUCAGUCUAUUCUGUCUGUCUUCAUAGACCCUUUAUUUGGUCGAUUUUUCUGUUCGUUUGCUAAGUAAGUAUAUGAUAGACUCUAUGUAUUCGAUUUGAUUAAUUCCGGCGAGUUAGUUAGUUCAAGUAGGUUCCCUGUUUCCGUCCAAACAUGAAUCACCCUGUUUGUAUGUUUGAUUAUGUUUGGUUAUUACCAAUUGUGUUUGUAUAAUCGUUUAAAUAAGUGUCGUCAAUUAAUUCGAUUAAAAGGUAGAAGAAACAUGAGGGUAAUUACUAUUGUUCUCCAGUAGGUUUACCAGCUUUGUGUCUUCUAUGCUAAUUUGGUAGUGAAAGGAACUUGAUUGAUACUACUUUCUGUUUUUCUCCUUGUUGAUCAUUUGAUUUGAGUUGGUCAAGAUUAGUUCCCGAUAUGACCAACUCAUCCCACCUAAUUGAUACCCUUUUGUGAGCUAAUUUUCUGUUGAAUCACUGCCUGAGUUAGAUGUUAGCAAUUGGUUAUAGCUGCUUAAUCAGAAAUUAGUUUUGUUAAUUAGGCUUGAACCAAGUUUAGAAUCUGUCUUUUGAAUUAGGACAGUAAUAUUCAGGGAAUUCCAGGGGUAAUUUGGAAAUAGAACAGUUAGAUUAAUAUUUUAAUAAUAGUGUCUUGAUAGUGGAGUAUUAGUUGUCAGUAAUUUAAUGAGUUAGUGGGGAACAAAAUAUAAUGGUAUGGGGGGGGGGGGGAUUUGGAAAUNNNNNNNNNNNNNNNNNNNNNNNNNNNNNNNNNNNNNNNNNNNNNNNNNNNNNNNNNNNNNNNNNNNNNNNNNNNNNNNNNNNNNNNNNNNNNNNNNNNNNNNGGGGGGGGGGGGGGAAUUGGUAAUGAGUAAUACACUAAUGGAUUAGUCAAAAGAGGAAAACAUUCUCUAGUGGAAUUUGGAGUGAAAAUGGGCAGAAUUUUGGGGGUGGGGGUCGGAUUAAAUCUUUCAAAGAGGAAAGAGGGUCUGUUGGGGGUUACUAUAAAUACAUAUUCAGAGUUUAAGUUAAAAAUCUACUGGUCUUUCAAUCUAAAAAGUUCAAUAAGUUUGAGAGUUAAAAACUGAAAAGUGAGGUCUCUUUGUUAGUGAAAAUCAGUGCUAGUUUGCUUGUUCCAUCGAAGCUUCAAGCUUCUUCUUCCUUGAGUGUUUGAAAACCAGAAAACCACUGCUCUUUUGUUUCUAGUUCCCUUCUGUUUCUGCCUGGGUUGCUAUUGGAUUGGUUGUUACUGUUUCAUUGGGUGCUACUGGAUUUUUUUUCCAAAUCUGUAAUUGGGUUUCUACUACUGGUUGUUGGUUAUUGCUGGUCAUUAGUGUUGCUGUUCGUUGUUUGCUACUGCUGUCCUGCUCAUCUUCCUCUUCUUUUGCUUCAUAUACCAAGUACAUGGCUGUAACUUUGCAAAUGUUGUAGCUGAAAAUUGAAGCACGAAUACGAAAAAAAAAUGAAGAAUUGAAGUUAUUUUUGAAUUCACUUUAGUUGUAUACUGAACACUAAUUGUGUGUGUGUGUGUGUAUAUAUAUAUAUAUAUAUAUAUAUAUAUAUAUUAGUUCACCUCCUCUACUAGAAUCAUGUAGGUAGCUGUGAUAUAUAACUGAACAUUUAUAUAUAGCAACUUAGUUUGUGAACUCUCUAUGUUUGUUUGUAGUUACAAAAGGGUUGAGGGUGUAGUCAUUAAUGCCCUGUUCAUUUCAGUUUGUUUGUUAAAAUGCAUGUCAAACUUGAAUCAGGCCAAUUAGACCUCUAAUCAUCGGGGAAAUCUAAUUUGAGCAUGCAAAUGGUUUGAAUUUAGGAUUAUUUCUAGAAUUCUAAGUCACCCCAUUCUAAUUGGUUGCUUUUUCUACAACUUGCAGUAGUUUGUUGAAUCAAAUAUCAUCAUGCUAUACAUUUCAGCUUUGCAAAAUUGUGAAUAAGUGUAGAGAAAAUUAACUAGGCCCAUUAUUGGGACGUGAUGGCCCAAGUCCCAUCUAAUACUACAUGCGUUGGACCUGGGCCAUGUCUGCGAUUGGUUCAAUUUGUGAUGAACCUAGAUUAUCAUCCCUUUACGCGGGCUACCUGGAGUUUGUGGAUCUAUACGUAAUAACUCUAAAUCAGUAAUAAUUUGCUAGGUUCGUUUGGUGUUUGUUAGAGACAAAUUAAGUAUAAAAGUGUAUCUUGCUUUAGUUUCCAAUUAAAACAAAUAAGACGAGCCUCGCCGAAAUAAAAAUGUA
rnacentral:lncRNA from 1 species